rnacentral:lncRNA from 1 species
AAUUUCCUCAUGUUUCACAAUUUUCCCAUUGAUGGUAUCUCUUACUGAUUUUGAAAAUAGCCAGAUAUAGGAACACAUAAAGUUUUGGAUAAAUUGAAAGUGGUUCCUUUAGGAGGAAAAUGUCAAGGACCUCUGAUCUUCAUGGUAUUAUAUACACUUUCAAGUAUAAGAAGAUGAACAGGAAAAUUGAUGUGAGAAUACCCAUUUCACAGUUGGGAACAUCAAAGAAGAGCUGCACAAAUUAAGGGAGCUUUAGGGCCACCCCUUAUUCACUGGUUGUCUUGUACUGGCAGUUUUUCUUCCAGCUUUGUUUCACCGUCUUCCUCCAGGGGGCACUGUUUCCUAUUCUAAUACCUGCUAAACCUAGGUUCUCUUCAUGUAAGCAGGGAAGUUCACUAAGAUACUCUAAGUAGCUACAGUGGUGACAGUACAAAACACUAAUGUACAGAAAUUAGGCCCAGGAUGUACAUGGGUGGAUUUUCUCUACUAAAGAGCAUGUAGAGAAUAGGAGAUCAAACCAAGUCUACAGAGGGAUCACUGAAAAUCUCUGAGCCAUGGAAAUAGAAAUCCUGUCUUUUUCAUUAAAUGGUAAGCUCUAAAAACAAACAGUGGAAAGCUUCCCUUCUGGGGAGGUAAUUCCUAGUACAAGAUGCUAAAGCAUGCAGAGAUUUUGUUGUUGUUGUUGUUGUUGGGGAUGGUGGUACUGGUUAGUUUUAAAUCUGGAACCCCUUGUUUUGGUCUUCAUAUGAUUUCACCAUGGUUUUCCCCUGCUUGUCCCACUUAUAGCUGGGGCAAAUCAAGCUAACUCUAUGUCUUAUUCUGAAAGGAAUGAGGACAUACUGUGGGCCCAGAGCAGUCGUUCUGCUUGUGAAGGACUGUCUUCACCUGCAGCAAAGAAAUUGACAGUCUGCAGUAGAGACCUCAGCCUGCCUCUGCCUGAACUCUCAAGGCUUUGGUGUGAGUUUCAGAAAAAGAAAUCUUUCCCCAUGCCUGUCAAGAAUUGCACACUCAUUAACAUCUACAAAACCCAGAAUACAGAAUUGAGUGCGGCAUAAGUAGGAGCAGGAAGAGACUGGGACUCUUGAGGACACUAAGAAGAUACAGAUCCAACUAACGACAUCACAGAUUCCACUGAGAAGCCUGCCCAGGAAAUUAAGUAGUGCACCUGUUG